rnacentral:lncRNA from 1 species
GAACAGAUCGUAACUGUGGUUUUUCUACUCUCCAGAUGCAAACAACUGCUGCCAACAGAAAAUAUCCCAACCUCACCGAAAUGGUGAGGGGGCCUCAACAUAUUCUUCUUUAUAUUUGCUUCCUGAUCAUCAAAAUAUGGUUCAUUCGUCAGUUUCAAGGGCCAUAUGAAUCUACACAUGAUGAAACUUUAGGUGCUUCUUAACCCUGGAAGUGACCCGCAAGGCUCUUGAUUGCGCCUACCCCAAAGCCUCACAUGCGUCUGCCCCUUCGCAUUCCUUUGGUUAAACCAGUCAAGUGUUCGAUCAAAACCAGCCCGCGAGGAAGUUGUUCAAGAGUUAAGUAUCGAUGCCAGAGGUAGAAAAAGUAAUGAAGACAUUUUGGUUGUAAAAAGGCAUUUGGCUUUCUGCCAUUGGCCAAUUUCUCCCUUCAGCAGUGACCACUGAGCCUUCCUUAUUUCUCUUCCAUUGUUUUUCUACUUUUUUCAGGAAUCAUGUCACUUCUGACAAAAAGAACUCAAAAUGGUCUGCAAGGUUUUCAUUAGGCCCUGAGGAUACAGCUGUUGGUGCGUAACUCAAUUCCCACACCCCCAAUCCUGGCCCAUCAAGGGGAGAUGCAAAGCGUUGUGCUAUAGGUUUGUACCAGCAGGUGAGAAAGAGUACAUUUUAGAAAGGCUUCAUCAUGAAGUAUCCAAAACUAAGGUAAAGUCCCCAAAUCUUAAACUCUUCAGAAAACGCAAAUGCAAAGAUCUGAGAUUUGGGGUUCUGAAGGAUUUUGUGACCACCACAUGUUGCUCUAUUUGACAGAUAAGAAUAUUGUCAACUGAAAGGGCGAGGAUCAUUAGUUCUCUGAGAUUUUUAAGAGAUUAAAAUGAGAAAGAGGAAGCAUUAAUUGGUGCCAUUUUAAAAAGUAACCUUUUGUCUGCACAGAUCUUCUUAUAUAAGCCAAUUUCUAGCUAUUGUAUAAAUAUUAAUGCCAUGGAUCUAUUCAGGAAAAUAACCAUGCUAAGUUACAG